AGAGUUUGAUCCUGGCUCAGAUUGAACGCUGGCGGCAUGCCUUACACAUGCAAGUCGAACGGUAACGCGGGGAAACCUGGCGACGAGUGGCGAACGGGUGAGUAAUGCAUCGGAACGUGCCCGGUAGUGGGGGAUAGCUCGGCGAAAGCCGGAUUAAUACCGCAUACGACCUGAGGGUGAAAGCGGGGGACCGAAAGGCCUCGUGCUAUUGGAGCGGCCGAUGUCAGAUUAGGUAGUUGGUGGGGUAAAGGCCUACCAAGCCGACGAUCUGUAGCUGGUCUGAGAGGACGACCAGCCACACUGGGACUGAGACACGGCCCAGACUCCUACGGGAGGCAGCAGUGGGGAAUUUUGGACAAUGGGGGAAACCCUGAUCCAGCCAUGCCGCGUGCGGGAAGAAGGCCUUCGGGUUGUAAACCGCUUUUGUCGGGGAAGAAAUUCUCUGGAUUAAUACCCUGGGGAGAUGACGGUACCCGAAGAAUAAGCACCGGCUAACUACGUGCCAGCAGCCGCGGUAAUUC
rnacentral:rRNA from 1 species